GACGCUAUCGAUUAGUGGUUAGAUCAGCUCGUUGUGGAACCACUGACCCGAGCAGACGGGUGUUCGAAUCACCCUAGCGUCA
rfam:Serendipita vermifera MAFF 305830 unplaced genomic scaffold scaffold_6, whole genome shotgun sequence.